rnacentral:lncRNA from 1 species
UUUUCUCAAAUAUCUGUUACCAAGUCUUUUUCUCAAAUAUGGAACUCUUUUUUCUCAAAUAACUGUUUUAAGAAGCUGUUACCAAGUCUUAAAACAAAAACAGAAAUUAAAUUGAUACACUCGAAAACCACACAAGAGGGCUUCUUUUAAACAUUACAUCAGACUCAGUCUUUGUUUUAUUGGAACUUACCAAAAGCACUCAAAAGCAUGAGCACCAUCGGCUAGGAGUCUUUAGAUUCCCCUUUUAGCACAAUCUCUAGGAAUUACGAUUUGAUACACCUCUUACUUGGCCUCGACCACCAUAUCCAUAGUCGCCGCCGCCGCCACCACCACGAGGUCCACUAUAACCGCCACAUGAAUGAACGUUACCGCAGAAAGCUUCUCUCAUUUGCCAAAACUCUAGCAUUUUCAUCACCCGUAUUCAUCUCAAUAAAGUUCGUCCAUGCAAAAUUCUUACGUCCAUUUAAUUAUGCUUACAUGGACAUGCUUCUUUUAAUGGAUUCUUAUAAACAAAUUUCCAAUUUCAACAAAGCUAUUUACAAUGGGCGUGAAAUCUUGCAACCUGCGAGAGUGAAAGAGGAGAUCAGAGCAAUAAUUAAGGAAAUACAAUCUCACAACAUCCAUUUAGAAGAAUUUCUCUCCAGAUUCAUACAAUAAACAUACAUAUAGCUCAAUUUCUCUCCAGAUUCAUCAAUUCCACUGCAGAUUUUAGAGAUUUAAAGUGAACUGAUCCAAAUAUUUCCAGAUUCAAAGGAAGAAAAAGAGAGAUUGAAGAAUCUAGAUGACAACCCCAGAAAUCCAGAUUUGAGGAAUCCAGAUGACAAUGUCGGAACCAGAAAAAGAGCGCUCGAGGAAUUCUUUGGAAACCAAGAAUCCUAGGGAAAUAAAACAACAUUCUCGCUCAAUGACAAAAGAGAGAUUACUGUUUUUGAACCCUUAAACUAAUGCCAAAAUGAUCUCCUCUUCUUCUCUUUAGCUGCUUAUAGAGACCGGGCGCUUGGUAAUGAGUUUCACUGCAUUGGUAAUGAGUUUCAAAUAUUAUUUUUAACAUUACAAGUAGAGAGAUCUAGGAUAUAAAUGAUUUACUAUCCAUCGGGAUUGUACUAUAUGGUUACGAAACAGCAUCAAAUGAUUUAGCGUCCACGCAAACAUGAACAUGUGGAUAUCCCAUCCUCUUAUAAACACUUUUGCAGUUUUUCGGUGUAUCAUUUCAAUAGUUUAAAAUGAUUUAAUGUCCAUAGGGAUUGUACUAUGUGGUUAUGAAUCAGUUCCAAAUGAUUUUGUAUCUUUGUAAUUUAGCUUUUCGUGUGACUCAGCUAAUCAAUCCUUCUUUCGUGCGUUGUAUCAAAACUUCAAGCAGCUUAGGAUCCAAAAACUUCAAGCAGCUUAGGAUAGACACUUGGUUUACAGUGUUGCAACAAAGCUCUGCCUAGGUUCUACUCUACCUGUCACCUAGAUUACAUAGCAAAACAUAACCAGCCAUAUCAAAGGUUAAUACUUUCAACUAAAAAACUACAGUUCGAAGAUAAUCCAGUAGAUACCAUAAGAGAGAUUCAGGUGAGAUGAUUUGCAACUGAUUUAUGUAUAUACCAUAAGAGAGAUGCAGAGUCAACACAAACAAGCUACACAAAGUAGUAACAAUAAAGAGUUAUAAGCGUUUAAGUAUAGCAAACAAACAAAACAGGAGAUAGCAAUACUGUAGGACAACUAGUUAGCAACUAAAAGGAGUAAAAACUUUUAAAGAUCAAGACCUUGAUAUCCUCACAAAGUCACAAACAUUCACAAAUUCGAAAUCCAAAUUUUGAGGUUUCAAGGGAAGAGAUAACUCGCGUAAUUGUAGACUUAGAAAUCAUCAAUGAAAAACGUGACACUUCCCAAAUCAAAGGUCAAAGCUUCAUCUAACCGAUGAACAAUCGCCUCAAAUUCCAAAAUCCAUCUCAAAUACAUAAAAAUAAGGUGAAGAUCAACAGGGUAUCGUCUUCCUUUUUUUUGUUUUAUUAUAGCCACAGUUUUACUUGCGUUGAAUAAUUCCGUUUAUCUAAAAGACAAGAAAUCAAACGACAACAUCAAUUACAUAUCCACUGCAUAUGCCAUGGAAUCAUCGAUUACAUAUCCUUCGGUUUGUUGCAUUUUUCCCAAUCGAACUUCAAGCAAAAACAAAAUCGAAACAAUCAAAUGUUGUAUGGGAAAGGAAUAAGAUCUGGAAAAACAAUGAAGCAAGAGAAUUACUUUUUAGGGUUGAGAAACAUAAUAGCUGGUUGACUUUUUAGCUGUGGCACAGAAGAAAUUGAAGAGACAACCCAUGGCUUCGAUGAAAUCGGAAGAGAGAAAAAGGAACAGCAAUGGAAGAAGCUACUGAGAUUUUCCGAGAAAGAUAGGAAAAGUCGAGAGUGAAAGAAUUGGUGGGUAUGAGUCAAUUGUUUUCAAAUUUGAAAUUAUCUGAUGGAAAUCACGGUAAUGAGAUAAGUCCAGAAAUGG